CAUUAGCAGCCUAACAGAAGAGAAGAAGAGAAAGAAACACAGUUAGAAAAAGAUCUGAUGUGUGUACAGUUCAGAUGUUUGACUCCACUUACUAACUGUUACCUGAAGUAAUGUUUUCCAUACAGGUUCCACUUCAGACUAACCAGCUGCCUCACAGGGGUCACUUCCAGGAUCCCUCUGGCCUGGAUACCAACAAAAUAAUCACUUAAAUGUCUCCUCAGGCGAAACCUCAGCUGGCUCCACCAAUGGUUGAGCUCGCUGGGAGCAGAUCUGGCCAGAGACGGAGACAUUGACACCUGAUGUUCGACUGGAAGGAACUCAGGAGAGAAGAAACCAGACACAACAAGCAGAGGAAUGUGAAGACCACAGAAGUCCAUGGCACAGGGUGUGAUGUGGGUGGAUUUCACACCUC